UUCCGGGGAAUGAACGUGCUCGGGUUCGGAACGCCCGAAGGUCCCUGCUGUUUAUUCAACUUGGAGAAGCUUAUCCUCGGGGCGGGAAAUGGCGUCCCUUCUUUGCCUCUCCUCCUUCGUCUCUUCCUCACUCGGGGUUGCAGUGCCUUCGCCACGACGCCACCAUCUCUUUGGCGUCUCAAAGAAGUGGCGGGCCCCAAUCUCCUGUGCUCAGAAGCGAUGGGGAAGGGCCUAUACGAGCGUCAUGAUCGUUCCCACGGGCGUUGGCGCCUCCAUCGGCGGCUUCGCCGGCGACGCUCUGCCUGUUGCUCGCGCCUUCGCCUCAGUCGUCGACAACCUCAUCUCCCACCCCAACGUGCUGAAUGCGGCGAUGCUCUUCUGGCCAAUGCCGAAUGUUUUGUAUGUGGAAGGCUUCGCGCUCGACAUGUUUGCUCAAGGCUUGUGGGCGUUGCGACCCGUUCACCAGAACAAGGUUGGAUUGGUUCUUGAUGCCGGGAUGGAGGAGGAUCUGCGAGUUCGUCAUUUGCAGGUUGCUGAUGCAACAAGGGCAUCCCUCGGAUUGCCUGUUGUUGAGUACAUCGUCACUGAUACACCUCUUCAGGUUGAGAAGUGGAUAGAACCAGAAUCCGGGCAGUCAACGGGGAGGAUCCGGCAACCUGGUUCCUUGUUGAGAGCUGUCGAAAAACUGGUAAACUCUUCUGGGAUAGAUGCUGUUGCAGUUGUAGGUCGCUUUCCUGAUGAUGAUGCUGAAGAGUUCGUUGAUUAUCGACAGGGAAAGGGAAUUGAUAUAUUGGCUGGGGUUGAAGCAGUCAUAAGCCAUUUAGUCGUAGAGAAGUUUUGCCUCCCCUGUGCUCACGCACCUGCCUUGUUGCCUCUGCCUCUUGACUCCUCAUUGUGUCCAAAAUCUGCUGCUGAAGAGAUUGGGUUCACUUUUCUACCUUGUGUACUUGCUGGGCUAAGCAAAGCACCUCAAUAUCUUGUUACUACUGCUGGUUCUGUGGGGACUGACUGUUUAGUUGCAAGUGAUGUAGACAGUUUGGUGCUUCCUAUUGAUGCCUGUGGAGGAAUAGGUUCUCUUGCAUUUGCCAAUAGUGAUAGAAAGAAGCGACCAUUGAUUAUUGCAGUGAAGGAGAAUGAGACAGUUCUUGAUGACACCCCUGAUAAGAUUGGGAUUGAUGCGUUGGUCGUUUCAAAUUAUUGGGAAGCUUUAGGAGUUAUUGCAGCUCACAAGGCAGGGAUUGAUCCUUUAUCCAUGAGAAAGGAUGCAACUAAGCGUAUCAGGCAAUUUUCAUCCAGUAUGCUUACAUCUAACAGAUAGAGAGGAUGAUAACCACAAGAAAAUGAGGGGCCUGAUUGAGAAAAGAAUCAUCCCAUUAAGGCAAAGAGUAGAAGUAGAACAGAUGGUAUCUGUCAUUUAACUUCAUUAAGUGGCAAAGGCCCAUUGAGAAAAAAGGUUCGGACUUUAGGGAAUGAAACUGACUGAGGACAUUUCAGAGGAUAUGCAUACGAAUCAAGACUAUGUUUCUGCAUAUGGCUUACAGAGGAAUUUCUAUUGUUCAUACUUCAACUGCUUCUUGACGGCUAGUACAAUACUUUUGAUUUGGAGAUGCUGCAGGGAGCAAAGAAAAGAUAAACAAUUGUUAUGGGAGGUUAUCUUGAAGAUCAGGACGGUAUCUUGUUUGCCGUACAGGCCAAGCUUCCAGUGUAAUAUAAUCUGUCGUUAUUGAUGGUACAA